GCGAGCCUCGGGUGGUCCUCAGGGAGGGAUUCCUGGUUUUCAAGCCUGAGCUGAUCUCCCGGCUGGAGCAGGGAGAAGAGCCGUGGGUCCUCGACCUGCAGGGAGCAGAGGGGACAGAGGCACCAAGGACCUCCAAGACAGAUUCUACGAUUAGGACGGAGAAUAAGCAGGUCUGUGAGGACAUGGACAUCCUAAAAUCAGAAUCCUAUGGGACAGUGGUCAGAAUCUCCCCACAGGACUUUCCUCAGAAUCCUGGCUUUGGAGAUGUUUCUGAUUCUGAGGUCUGGUUAGACAGUCAUCUGGGCAGUCCUGGGCUGAAAGUGACAGGCUCUACCUUCCAGAAUAACUGUUUGAAUGAGGAGACUGUGGUUCCCAAGACCUUCACCAAGGACACAGCCCAGGGAUGUAAGGAGCUGGGAAGCAGCGGCCUGGAUUGUCAGCCUCUUGAAAGACAGAGAGAGAGUGCAGAAGGGAUGUCCCAGAGAUGCGAGGGGUGUGGCAAAGGCGUCAGAGCCACUUCAAACAUCGCUCUGCAUUGGGAAGUUAAUACACAGAAAAUUAGCACAUGU
rnacentral:sRNA from 1 species